AUCGUGUAACAGAUUAGCUACUUUAGGCUACAAUAUUAGAAAAUAUUCUGAAUCUUCGGAGGAUUCAAAGAACUUUAUUGAAACAACAGCAUUUUCAGAGAGUGUAUCAAAUCUUGCAAAGUCACUUGGACUAUCAAAAAUUGACCCAGAAAGUCUGAAGCCAGCUUUGGUGCAUCGAUCUUAUUUGGUAACACAUGCAACUAUAUUGAAGGACUCACAUGAACAUAAUGAUCAACUUGCUUUCUUAGGUUUACAGACAGCAAAGAGACAUCUAACUGAACUUCUUUUGCAACAUUUUCCACAUUUGUCAUCUCAGGAACUAUGGGAUGUACAAAAUGGUAUUCUAGAAAAUCAAGUUCUA